AGUCACAUUGCUCCCUAGAGAAGACAGCAUUGUCUCCUCCCAAACCCCUCUUGCUGCCAUCAGUAAGUCAGUGAUGCUUCGUGUCCCCAACAGAUCUUAGCAGUAACUGAGAAAAUGCUCAUGGAAAUGCUUUGGAAAAGAGGUGAGAGACUGCAUGAUAGGAUUUCAACUACAUCUUAAGGCAUGGGACUUUCAGGAGGCUGCUGGAAUUAAAGGUGGCCACCUGACUUCAGAAUUCAUCAUUCAAUCCCUUCUGCCUCUGGGACUCUACCAAGAUUGUGUUUGUCCUAGCAGCAGCCUGACAGGCCGGAUGUCUUAUACAGUUUCCACUUGAGAAACUGGGACUCCAAACAGCAAAACAACGGGACCCGAGCUUAACUUUUGGUUUCGACUGAAGUGGAAUCCAGAAAUGCUCAGCCUGGCAGCUGCAGAAAACUCGGAAACCACACAGAUUUCUGCUGUUGGAGCCUCCAUCUCUGAGCAAGACCAGCUGGAAUUCUGAGAUCUGUUACCUCUUAUUUCUUCAUGACAUCUUUGGGGAUACAUACAGACCAAACCUUAAAACGAAGUCAAACAUCGUACUCUGGUUCACUUCUUUAUGUGAACAGCACGACUCAGCGGUGCUCAGCGCACAGUGGUGCUCAGCACACAGUCCGUCCCAGCAGAUGGAAGCCUCGGAACACUGGCAAUUCAGCACAAUGACAUCAGCAUGGCUAUUCUCCAGAACCAAACUGUCUGGCUCCAGAGCCAAAAUGUGAGUGUUCCAUUCUUGGAAGUGGGACUGUUCCCUUCCCUGUAGAUGCUGUGUCUAUGUCCCCUGUGUCUCAGGAGUAAUUGUUCAGUAGAGGGUAGCAUCUAGCCGUUUAUGUACUGCACCAUUUAUUGAACCCUGCACAUGGGUCUUCACUGAUGAAGACCUCAUGUUCUCAUCAUGGUCUUAAGUGCCUCAAACUCACACCUCUACAUGCUUGUUGAUUAAAUGAUGAGCCAGAUGGUCCUGCCUUGAUUUAUCAACCAGGAAAUAGCCAAUGAUUGUGAAACCUCCCUGGACUUCUGAUAUUCUUAGAAAAAACAGGGGCAUGAGGCAACGGAAAGACAGACCAGAAGUUCUUUUAAAUGGCAUUGGUAAGGUUUUGGUAUAUUUUUCCAUUAUGUCUUCCUAUGAACAUAAAAUUUUUAUCCACGAUAUUGUUGUGAAAGUCCCAACCACAGUGGGCGUUCUAGCAAGUGGCUCCUUUCAUUUUUCCCAAUCAACAUUGAUAGUUGUGCUACCCAGCAAAGAGAUAAACAUGCAAAAGGCACCAUCUUCCCUGAUCUCAUGACACACGGUGACGUUGCAUAGCUGGGCUAUGACAACUGGCUCUGAAGUCACAUAACCAGGACACAACUUCCAUUCUGGCUUCACUAGCUAUGUGACAGUGAAUCCAGAUCUGUACCUUCUCAUAUUCUUGUACCAUGAAGUAUGAGAAAUGGCAGUAACCUUUAUAAUUUGAAGGUAUUGGGUGGCUAGAUGAGAUCAUACAAAUACCCAGUAGAAGAUGUGGUAAGCAAACGCUGACACCAUUGCAUACGCCAGUAAGAUUUUGCUGAAAGGACCCUCAUAUAGCUGUCUCUUGUGAGGCUACGCCGGUGCCUGGCAAACACAGAAAUGGAUGCUCACAGUCAGCUAUUGGAUGGAACACAGGGCCCCCAAUGGAGGAGCUGGAGAAAGUACCCAAGGAGCUAAAGAGGUCUGCAACCCUAUAGUUGGAACAACAAUAUGAACUAACCAGUACUCCCGGAGCUCAUAUCUCUAGCUGCAUAUGUAGCAGAAGUUGGCCUAGUUGGCCAUUAUUGGGAAGAGAGGCCCCUUGGUCUUGCCAACUUUAUAUGCCUCAGUACAGGGGAAUGCCAGGGCCAAGAAGUGGGAGUGGGUGGGUAGGGGAGUGGGUAGGUAGGGUAUGGGGGACUUUUGGGAUAGUAUUUGAAAUGUAAAUGAAGAAAAUACCUAAUGAAAAUUUUAAAAAUUGAAAAUAAAAGAAAAUGUGGUAAGCACCAAAAAGGUUAUCUGAUGAGCAGUGUGAUCUUACAUUUCUGUUAUAAUUGUUUUCACAAAACAAUGUGAACGAAAACUUGAUCGUUAGCCAUGGGGGCAGUGAAGUGAAGAUACUGGGAAUGAUUUUUAAAGGAAAAGGUGGAGGUGGGUGGAAUUUGGGAAGAGGUCAGAUAAUGGGACCAAUGCCAAAGAUGAUCCCAUAUUUUGGCAUGAGGGACUAGGUAGAGAGAUGAAGACAGAUACAUGGGUAUGUAGAGUCUGGGGCUCUAAAAAGGACAUUUAUCAAGGGAGUUCAUUUGUAUGAAAAAUCUGCCAUACAAAAGAGGAGGAUAUUAAAGUUACAGAGAGCAUCCACAAAACUUA
rnacentral:lncRNA from 1 species